ACAAACGCGUCCAACCCUAACCUAACAUCAGAAAUCAAACUUCAAACAUCUUAACCCUUUCUUCUGCUCAGCGGCGGUGACCUCGACCCCGACGGCGACCAUGACGGCGACGGCGACUGCAACAUCCGAUGGCACCACCGACUCCGGAUUAGGUUUUUGGCCUUUAUAUUCAUCAUGGAGGACAUUUCAUUCCGAAUGGAAAGUUUCAGAAAUGUAUUGGUGGUGGAAUGGCACAAGCAAGUGAUCUAGACCCAGACAUAUUUGGGUAUUUUGACUUAAUUGAGGAAUUGAAUAAAAUAGGGAUUGACACAUGGGGUAGACUCACCUUUGUGAAUCCUAUGUCAGCAACCCACGUGGAUAUAAAAAGUGAUAGGAGGUGAUGGAGAUGUUUUAGCUACUCUAAGAGUCAGUUUUACCAGAAUGUGUAGUAUAUAUGUUGUUAAUGGGAUGAGGUCUACUGAAGGCAUGGGUGGUAAACAUGUGGGAGAGAAGGUGGUGAAAAAGGUUGAAACUGUGAAAAAUAGCAAGAGUAUAGUUGAAAAGAGUAACUUUAAGCCUGCCACAAAAAUUAGAAAUUCCACUCUAUGAGCAAGGGUAAGAGUGUGAUUGAAAAAAAUGUGGAGAAAAAUGUGGUUCAAUCAGUGGAGAAUAGGGUUGUUGAAAGUGUUUGUAAGAAUGUUGCUAUAUCUUUUGGUAGAAGUGGCAGUGAGAGGGUGGUUAAGUCUAUUGAGAAGCAAUGUAGUGAAACAUUUAGUAAGAAUGUAAGUGGAGCUGUGAAUAAGACAAUGGCUCGAUCUGUGGAUAAUAAUGCAAGUGAGACUGGGAGUAAGAGUUUGAGUGAUUCUGUGGAGAAGAAUAACAUGAGUGGCUCUGUGGAGAAGAAUUUGAGUUGGAUCAGCUAAUGAGGUUUUUUGGAGAUGGUGAGUAUGAGAGUUCAAGUGAUGGCAGUUAUAUACCAUCAAGUGAUGAGAAGACCGAUGAUGAAAUGGAAGCCAAUGAGCUAGUCAAUGGAGGAUAGAAGAGUGACUAUGUGUCUGAAUAUGAAAAUUCUAAAGAUGAUGAUAUUUAUUCUGACUCGACUGAUUUUGAAGAUAAAGGAAGAUGGUCCAGAAAAUGACAUGCUAAAGUGAUGUAUGAUCCAAAAUGUGAUCAUAAGCUUCUUGCAUUCAGUGCUGGUAUAGGAUUUAUUGAUGGUCACUAGGCUAGAGAGGCACUGUCAGAGUCCUAGUGAAUGGAGGAUAUCUGGGAGUCGAGUGAGGACGAGUGGUGUAUUUUUAAUAAAAAAAAUCAGGAAGGGGUUCUCACUUGUCCUAGGGCUAUGAGGAAUAAAAGUGCUACAUCAAAUUGGAUUGUUAGAAAAUACUUCCAUAUCUUUAAGCUUAAACCAAAUAUGAGUUGUAAAGAUUUAGGUAGGGAUUUAAUGUAGAGUAAUGCUGUUGAGGCCACAAGGUGGAAACUAUUCCAUUCAAAGAGAAAAGCUAUUCAUCUGUUGAGGGGAUCUAUGGAAGAUCAUUAUGCCAAGUUGAGGAGCUAUGUACUUGAGUUGAGUAGAGCUGACAAAGAAGGUAAAUUUGAGCUACAUGUAGAUGUAGGCGUUGUGUUCAAGGCAAUGUACAUUGGAUUUAGUGGGUUGAGAAGGGGUUCAAGAAGGGGUGUAGGAUGGUGAUUGGACUAGAUGGGGCUUUCUUGAAGACUUACCUGGGUGACAUUUUGUUAUCUGCAGUGGGAACUGAUGGGAAUAAUCAAAUGUAUCCUAUAGCUUGGGCAGUAGUUGUAGUUGAGAACGAGGUUUGCUGGACUUGGUUCAUUAACAUUCUAGUGCAAGAGUUGAACAUGAGUGAAGGAGUUGGAAUUACUAUCAUAAGUGAUCAGCAAAAGGUAUAAUCUAAACUGACACUUUACUUGUGCAUUCACUAAACACUUAGAUUACGACUAACGCAAAUAUUUAUGAUUGUACGGGCUUGUCCCAUUUGGAUGAGCACAGAAAUUGUGCAAGACAAUCUAUGCCAAUUGGAAAAAAAUUCUCAAAGGUCCUAAACUGAAGAAGUUUUUUUGGAAGCUGGUUAGAAGCACCUACAUGCACGAGUAUGAAUUGGCAUGCAAGGAAUUAGAGAAUGAAGAUGGGAAAGCAUUUGCUGAUUUAAUGGAUAAGAACCCGAGAGAUUCUGUAAGGCCUUCCUCACCCCAAUACAAUGCUAUGAUGCUAUUCUCAACAAUGUUUGUGAGUGUUUCAAUGCAUACAUUUUGGAGGCUAGAAACAAACACAUAAUAGACAUGCUUGAGGAGAUAAGAACAACGCUUAUGGAGAGAUUGUAUAGAAAGGCUGUAGAGAUUGCAUCUGCUGGGAGUAGUUCAACUAUGUGUCCAAAAAUUAAAAAAAAAUCAAUGCAAUGGUAUAUGAGAGCAGAAACUGCACGACAAUGCCUGCAUUAGGGGGAAAUUUCGAAGUUACUCACUUCGAUGACAGAUUUGUAGUGACUCCUUCAAAAAGACAGUGUGGUUGUAGGAAGUGGGAUGUAACAUGCAUCCCUUGUUUGCAUGGUGUUGCUGUUAUUAACUUUUUGAAGGAGGAUGUCGAUGAAUACGUCCACCAAUACUUUUCAGUGAGUAAGUAUAAGUUGGCAUAUGGGUAUGGCCUACUAACUAUGAAUGGGGAGAAACUAUGGCAUAUUGUUGAAGGUUAUCCUGUCACCCCACCACAUGUGAGAAAGAUGCCUGGUAGACCUAAGAAGGUUAGGAGGAGGGACCCAUUUAAGAAGGAUCCGGAAAGAACAAACAAGCUAAGAAGAUAUGUGCAAUGACUUGCCAAAACUGUUUCCAAGAAGGCCACAACUCUAGGUGUUGCAAAAAUGAGACUUUUCAUCUGCCAGAGAAACCAAAGGCCUCGCAAGCCGCCACAAGCUUCGACGUCACAUAGUGGCACCACCACGGUUCGAGGGAGGGGUAGAGGAAGAGGGACUGGAAGAAGAGGGAGGGCUAGAGUUGGACCGAGUGGAGCAAACCCAGUUGGAGUAGUCUCUACUCAACAAAGUGCAACCUAAAGAUGUGACAUGAAGAUGUUCUUUGUUUGUUUCUAUUGCAUUAACUGUUCGGUGUUGUUAUGAAAUGACAUUUGGAGAUAUUUGGUUUGUUUUGUUGACAUUUUUUUGAGCUAUUUGGUUUGUUUUGGUGACAA